CGGGGGGAGCAAGCGUUGUUCGGAUUUACUGGGCGUAAAGGGCGCGUAGGCGGCCACGACAAGUCAGUUGUGAAAUCUCUCGGCUUAACCGAGAGCGGUCAACUGAUACUGUCGGGCUAGAGUGCAGAAGGGGCAACUGGAAUUCUCGGUGUAGCGGUGAAAUGCGUAGAUAUCGAGAGGAACACCUGCGGCGAAGGCGGGUUGCUGGGCUGACACUGACGCUGAGGCGCGAAAGCUAGGGGAGCGAACGGGAUUAGAUACCCCGGUAGUCCUAGCCUUAAACGAUGAAUGCUUGGUGUCUCGGGUUUUAUAGUCCCGAGGUGCCGUCGCUAACGCAUUAAGCAUUCCGCCUGGGGAGUACGGUCGCAAGACUG
rnacentral:rRNA from 1 species